UACGAAGGGGGCUAGCGUUGCUCGGAAUCACUGGGCGUAAAGGGCGCGUAGGCGGCCAUUCAAGUCGGAGGUGAAAGCCCAGGGCUCAACCCUGGAAUUGCCUUCGAUACUGUCUGGCUAGAGACCGGAAGAGGUAAGUGGAACUGCGAGUGUAGAGGUGAAAUUCGUAGAUAUUGGGAAGAACACCUGAGGCGAAGGCGGGUUGCUGGGCUGACACUGACGCUGAGGCGCGAAAGCCAGGGGAGCGAACGGG
rnacentral:rRNA from 1 species